CUACAAAAACAGAGAGAGCAGCCCCCCCGUUUUCUUUCUCGGCUAGGGUUUCUUAACCCAUCAUCGCCGCCGCCGUGAAACCACCGUAGGUGGUGAUCAGCGUCUACAAAAGGGGGUUGUUUGACCCCAAUUUUGGAGCGCUCGAAGGCCGUAUUCCUUUAGCCUGUGAACCCGAGAGAAAAGAUAUCCUUUUUCUAUGGGAGUCAAUUUCAAUGAUGGAGCAGGAACUCUGACGACGCGACUCCAAGGUUGGGGUAAGUCUCCUUUUCUCUUUUCUUUUUGUUUUUUGUUUAAAACAGAAAACAUAAAACAGGAAAAAGAAGAAGAUGAGAUUCAACCUUUUUUUUUAUUGCUUAAAUCGUGUGUGUAAUAUAAUAUUUCGCGUUUGAGGCUUCUUAUAGCCGAAUACAAAAAAAAAUCUAUUGUUUGCUACUGUUUGGCUCUGCUUUUGCUGUUUUCCUUUCUUUGCCAUGUUUGCAGGUCCAUGGAGGGUCAACGGAUGAGGGAGUUUCCACUUCCGUGCAAGGGCCGUCGAUCCUCGAGCGGAGUACGCUCUGAGGCACUCGGGUGGUGGCUACGGUGCAAGCGAGGCUCAGAAACCCUAGGGUUUCUGAGUUGGCUUAAUGUUUUGGGCUUAUUGGGCCAAUAGAGGUUGGGUUAGGGAUUUUGGGUUGUGUUUGGGCCAUUGUAGAUUGGGUCUGCUUGGUUGUAGUUGGGUAGUGUAGUGGGUUUGGUGAAGUUUGGGCUUAGGUUGGGUAAUUCAGGCCUACUAAUUGUUUGCAAUUUAGACAUUAGACUUAUUAAUUUUUGGGUUUUCUAAAGGGCCGGGCAAAUUUGGGCUCAUACAUUAACAAUAAAUAACUAUUCAAAUGGAUGUAUUUGAAUAGUCACCACUUUUAAUUAAUAAAUUUUUUUUUUAUCAAAAAUGGGCCUAAAGGCCGCCAUCUCGAAUUAAC
rnacentral:lncRNA from 1 species